rnacentral:rRNA from 1 species
CCUACGAGAGGCAGCAGUGGGGAAUCUUGCGCAAUGGGCGAAAGAGUGACGCAGCGACGCCGCGUGAAUGACGAAGGCCUUCGGGUCGUAAAGCUCUUUCGACAGGGAAGAAAAUGCCUAUAAGUAACUGUGUAUGUAUUGACGGUACCUGUACAAGCAGCCCCGGCUAACUCCGUGCCAGCAGCCGCGGUAAUCCGGAGGGGGCGAGCGUUGUUCGGAGGGAUUGGGCGUAAAGGGCACGUAGGCGGUGUUGUAAGUCAUUAGUGAAAGACUAGGGCUCAACGGUAGUAAGGCUAGUGAUACUUGAAUACGAGAGUAUCAGAGAGGAUUGCAGAAUUCCUGGUGUAGCGGUGAAAUGCGUAGAUAUCAGGAGGAAUACCGUUGGCGAAGGCGGCAAUCUGGCUGGAAACUGACGCUGAGGUGCGAAAGCGUGGGUAGCAAACAGGAUUAGAUACCCGUGUAGUC